AUUGAACGCUGGCGGCAUGCCUUACACAUGCAAGUCGAACGGUAACAGGUCUUCGGAUGCUGACGAGUGGCGAACGGGUGAGUAAUACAUCGGAACGUGCCCGAUCGUGGGGGAUAACGAAGCGAAAGCUUUGCUAAUACCGCAUAAGAUCUACGGAUGAAAGCGGGGGACCGCAAGGCCUUGCGCGAACGGAGCGGCCGAUGGCAGAUUAGGUAGUUGGUGGGAUAAAAGCUUACCAAGCCGACGAUCUGUAGCUGGUCUGAGAGGACGACCAGCCACACUGGGACUGAGACACGGCCCAGACUCCUACGGGAGGCAGCAGUGGGGAAUUUGGGACAAUGGGCGAAAGCCUGAUCCAGCCAUGCCGCGUGCAGGAUGAAGGCCUUCGGGUUGUAAACUGCUUUUGUACGGAACGAAAAGACUCUUUCUAAUAAAGAGGGUCCAUGACGGUACCGUAAGAAUAAGCACCGGCUAACUACGUGCCAGCAGCCGCCGUAA
rnacentral:rRNA from 1 species